rnacentral:misc_RNA from 1 species
AUGGAGCUAUUUUGGCUGAGUUACGAGUGAGGCCAAACCUGCCACAACAGAUACAAGAUGGGCAGAAGGCAGAUGAAAAACUAAUGGCCAUUGUGGAUAAAAUUCCAGAGGGAAAGGAAACUGAAUAUGAGGUGAAAGCAGAUAGGUGUUUGUAUUACAGAGGAAGAGUGUGUGUACGAGAUGAUGGGAAACUGAAGACUAGUAUUCUGAGAGAAGCACACACUAGUGUUUAUGCUAUGCACCCGGGAAGCAUAAAAAUGUAUAAUGAUUUAAAGCCUCAUUAUUGGUGGCCUGGU